AACGAACGCUGGCGGCAUGCCUAACACAUGCAAGUCGAACGAGACCUUCGGGUCUAGUGGCGCACGGGUGCGUAACGCGUGGGAACCUGCCCUUAGGUUCGGAAUAACUCCCCGAAAGGGGUGCUAAUACCGGAUAAUGUCUUCGGACCAAAGAUUUAUCGCCUUUGGAUGGGCCCGCGUUGGAUUAGCUAGUUGGUAGGGUAAAAGCCUACCAAGGCGACGAUCCAUAGCUGGGCUGAGAGGAUGAUCAGCCACACUGGGACUGAGACACGGCCCAGACUCCUACGGGAGGCAGCAGUGGGGAAUAUUGGACAGUGGGCGAAAGGCUGAACCAGCAAGGCCGGGUGAGUGAUGAAGGCCUUAGGGUUGUAAAGCUCUUUUACCCGGGAUGAUAAUGACAGUACCGGGAGAAUAAGCUCCGGCUAACUCCGUG
rnacentral:rRNA from 1 species